GGGUCGUUAGCUCAGUUGGUAGAGCAGUUGACUUUUAAACAAUUGGUCGCAGGUUCGAAUCCUGCACGACCCACCA
rnacentral:tRNA from 2 species